GACGGAGGGUGCAAGCGUUGUUCGGAAUUACUGGGCGUAAAGGGCGCGUAGGCGGCCCUCUAAGUCAGACGUGAAAUCCCUCGGCUCAACCGGGGAACUGCGUCUGAGACUGGAAGGCUUGAAUUCGGGAGAGGGAUGUGGAAUUCCAGGUGUAGCGGUGAAAUGCGUAGAUAUCUGGAGGAACACCGGUGGCGAAGGCGGCAUCCUGGACCGAUAUUGACGCUGAUGCGCGAAAGCCAGGGGAGCAAACGGG
rnacentral:rRNA from 1 species